rnacentral:tRNA from 1 species
AGUAGAAUGGCUGAGUUUUAGGCAAUAAAUUGUAAAUUUAUUUAGGAAGUUACUUCUUCUACUA